GCAGCAGUGGGGAAUUUUGGACAAUGGGCGCAAGCCUGAUCCAGCAAUGCCGCGUGCAGGAUGAAGGCCUUCGGGUUGUAAACUGCUUUUGUACGGAGCGAAAAGGCUCUCUCUAAUACAGGGGGCUCAUGACGGUACCGUAAGAAUAAGCACCGGCUAACUACGUGCCAGCAGCCGCGGUAAUACGUAGGGUGCAAGCGUUAAUCGGAAUUACUGGGCGUAAAGCGUGCGCAGGCGGUUAUGUAAGACAGAUGUGAAAUCCCCGGGCUCAACCUGGGAACUGCAUUUGUGACUGCAUAGCUAGAGUACGGCAGAGGGGGAUGGAAUUCCGCGUGUAGCAGUGAAAUGCGUAGAUAUGCGGAGGAACACCGAUGGCGAAGGCAAUCCCCUGGGCCUGUACUGACGCUCAUGCACGAAAGCGUGGGGAGCAAACAGGAUUAGAUACCCUGGUAGUCCACGCCCUAAACGAUGUCAACUGGUUGUUGGGUCUUCACUGACUCAGUAACGAAGCUAACGCGUGAAGUGACCGCAUGGGAGACGCCAAUGG
rnacentral:rRNA from 1 species